rnacentral:rRNA from 1 species
CCUACGGGUGACAGCAGUGAGGAAUAUUGGUCAAUGGACGAGAGUCUGAACCAGCCAAGUAGCGUGAAGGAUGACUGCCCUAUGGGUUGUAAACUUCUUUUAUAUGGGAAUAAAAUGUUCCACGUGUGGGAUUUUGUAUGUACCAUAGGAAUAAGGAUCGGCUAACUCCGUGCCAGCAGCCGCGGUAAUACGGAGGAUCCGAGCGUUAUCCGGAUUUAUUGGGUUUAAAGGGAGCGUAGGUGGAUUGUUAAGUCAGUUGUGAAAGUUUGCGGCUCAACCGUAAAAUUGCAGUUGAAACUGGCAGUCGUGAGUACAGUAGAGGUGGGCGGAAUUCGUGGUGUAGCGGUGAAAUGCUUAGAUAUCACGAAGAACUCCGAUUGCGAAGGCAGCUCACUGGACUGCAACUGACACUGAGGCUCGAAAGUGUGGGUAUCAAACAGGAUUAGAUACCCCAGUAGUC